rnacentral:misc_RNA from 1 species
GAUGAAGAACGUAGCGAAAUGCGAUAAGUAAUGUGAAUUGCAGAAUUCAGUUAAUCAUCGAAUCUUUGAACGCACAUUGCGCCCAUUAGUAUUCUAGUGGGCCUGCCUGUUCGAGCGUCAUUAAGUCCACUUAAGCCCUGCUUAGUGUUGGGAGACUGCUCCAGCGGUGCUACCCUGUAGCUACCCUGCAGCUCCUCAAAGACAGCGGCGGAGUUGUGGUAUCCUCUGAGCUUAGUAACUUGUUCUAGCUUUCGAGUACACCACUUCCCCUGCCGUAAAACCCUUAAUUUUUAAUGGUUGACCUCGGAUCAGGUAGGAAUACCCGCUGAACUUAAGCAUAUCAAUAAGCGAAGGA